AACGCGAAGAACCUUACCAGGUCUUGACAUCCAGAGAACUUUCCAGAGAUGGAUUGGUGCCUUCGGGAACUCUGAGACAGGUGCUGCAUGGCUGUCGUCAGCUCGUGUCGUGAGAUGUUGGGUUAAGUCCCGUAACGAGCGCAACCCUUGCCCUUAGUUGCCAGCGAGUAAUGUCGGGAACUCUAAGGGGACUGCCGGUGACAAACCGGAGGAAGGUGGGGAUGACGUCGAGUCAUCAUGGCCCUUACGACCUGGGCUACACACGUGCUACAAUGGGCGGUACAAAAGGUUGCCAAACCGCGAGGUGGAGCUAAUCCCAUAAAACCGUUCGUAGUCCGGAUUGGAGUCUGCAACUCGACUCCAUGAAGUCGGAAUCGCUAGUAAUCGUAAAUCAGAACGUUACGGUGAAUACGUUCCCGGGUCUGUACACACCG
rnacentral:rRNA from 1 species